CAGAGUAGAUUUUAAGGCGUAAAGUGCCGCGUGAACGGGGAGUUGUCACGCGGACGAAGCGGUUUCCGCGCGGUCUUAAAGUCGCAUCCCGCUG
rnacentral:ncRNA from 1 species